CACGUAGGGGGCAAGCGUUGUCCGGAUUCAUUGGGCGUAAAGAGCUCGUAGGCGGCUCAGUAAGUCGGGUGUGAAACCCUCAGGCUCAACCUGGGGACGCCACUCGAUACUGCUGUGGCUAGAGUCCAGUAGGGGAGUGUGGAAUUCCCGGUGUAGCGGUGAAAUGCGCAGAUAUCGGGAGGAACACCAGCGGCGAAGGCGGCACUCUGGGCUGGUACUGACGCUGAGGAGCGAAAGCGUGGGUAGCAAACAGGGA
rnacentral:rRNA from 1 species